UACAGAGAGUGCAAGCGUUAAUCAGAAUUACUGGGCGUAAAGCGCGCGUAGGGGGAUUGUUAAGUCGGAUGUGAAAGACCUGGGCUUAACCUGGGAAUUGCAUCCGAUACUGGCAAUCUAGAGUAUGGUAGAGGGAAGUGGAAUUUCCGGUGUAGCGGUGAAAUGCGUAGAUAUCGGAAAGAACACCAGUGGCGAAGGCGGCUUCCUGGACCAAUACUGACACUGUGGUGCGAAAGCGUGGGGAGCAAACAGG
rnacentral:rRNA from 1 species